UCGGGAAUUUUGCACAAUGGCCGAAAGGCUGAUGCAGCAACGCCGCGUGAGCGAAGAAGGCCUUCGGGUUGUAAAGCUCUGUUGCCUGCGAAGAAGGGCCCUGUCAGGAAAUGGGCGGGGUUUGACGGUAGCAGGCGAGGAAGCCCCGGCAAACUACGUGCCAGCAGCCGCGGUAAUACGUAGGGGGCGAGCGUUGUCCGGAAUUACUGGGCGUAAAGGGCGUGUAGGCGGCCUGUUAAGUCAGGGGGGAAAGACCGGGGCUCAACCCCGGGGGUGCCUCUGAAACUGGCGGGCUUGAGUGCUCUAGAGGGCAGUGGAAUUCCCGGUGUAGCAGUGAAAUGCGUAGAGAUCGGGAGGAACACCAGUGGCGAAGGCGGCUGCCUGGGGAGUCACUGACGCUGAGGCGCGAAAGCUAGGGGAGCAAACAGG
rnacentral:rRNA from 1 species